UACGAAGGGGGCUAGCGUUGCUCGGAAUCACUGGGCGUAAAGGGUGCGUAGGCGGGUCUUUAAGUCAGGGGUGAAAUCCUGGAGCUCAACUCCAGAACUGCCUUUGAUACUGAAGAUCUUGAGUUCGGGAGAGGUGAGUGGAACUGCGAGUGUAGAGGUGAAAUUCGUAGAUAUCCGGAGGAACACCGGUGGCGAAGGCGGCUUCCUGGACCGACACUGACGCUGAGGCGCGAAAGCUAGGGGAGCAAACGGG
rnacentral:rRNA from 1 species